rnacentral:rRNA from 1 species
UACGAGGGGAGCAAGCGUUGUUCGGAUUUACUGGGCGUAAAGGGCGCGUAGGCGGCGUGACUAGUCACUUGUGAAAUCUCCGGGCUUAACUCGGAAAGGUCAAGUGAUACUGUCGUGCUAGAGUACAGAAGGGGCAACUGGAAUUCUCGGUGUAGCGGUGAAAUGCGUAGAUAUCGAGAGGAACACCUGCGGCGAAGGCGGGUUGCUGGGCUGAUACUGACGCUGAUGCGCGAAAGCCAGGGGAGCGAACGGG